ACAAUGAUACUCCUGUUCAGUCACAGUCCGAGCGUUGAAGCGUUUUUCGUGCGUGAUCCGUCGCAGGCAAUGAGAACAGCCGAUAGAGAACCUACCGGGGGUGAGAUUCCCGUGG
ncrna:unclassified sequences pemK RNA